rnacentral:rRNA from 1 species
UACGGGGGGAGCAAGCGUUGUUCGGAUUUACUAGGCGUAAAGGGCGCGUAGGCGGCACCGCAAGUCAGUUGUGAAAUCUCUGGGCUUAACCCAGAAAGGUCAACUGAUACUGCGGGGCUAGAGUGCAGAAGGGGCAACUGGAAUUCUCGGUGUAGCGGUGAAAUGCGUAGAUAUCGAGAGGAACACCUGCGGCGAAGGCGGGUUGCUGGGCUGACACUGACGCUGAUGCGCGAAAGCUAGGGGAGCGAACGGG